GAUGAACGCUAGCUACAGGCUUAACACAUGCAAGUCGAGGGACCGGCGCACGGGUGAGUAACACGUAUCCAACCUGCCCUUUACUCGGGGAUAGCCUUUCGAUAGAAAGAUUAAUACCCGAUGUAAAGGAUGGGGAUGCGUUCCAUUAGGUUGUGGGUGAGGGAACGGCCCACCAAGCCUUCGAUGGCUAGGGGUUCUGAGAGGAAGGUCCCCCACAUUGGAACUGAGGCACGGUCCAAACUCCUACGGGAGGCAGGAGUGAGGAAUAUUGGUCAAUGGGCGUUAGCCUGAACCAGCCAAGUAGCGUGAAGGAUGAAGGGUUAUGGGUCGUAAACUUCUUGUAUAUAAGAAUAGGUAUUAUAUGAAUAAGGAUCGGCUAACUCCGUGCCAGCAGCCGCGGUAAUAC
rnacentral:rRNA from 1 species